rnacentral:rRNA from 1 species
ACNGGCGCUAUUUNGUUGGUUCUAGGAUCGCCGUAAUGAUUAAUAGGGAUAGUCGGGGGCAUUCGUAUUCAAUUGCUAGAGGUGAAAUUCUUGGAUUUAUUGAANACGAACUACUGCGAAAGCAUUUGCCAAGGAUGUUUUCAUUGAUCAAGAACGAAGGUUAGGGGACCGAAGACGAUCAGAUACCGUCGUAGUCUUAACCAUAAACUAUGCCGAUUANGGAUCGGACGGUGUUAUUUUUUGACCCGUUCGGCACCUUACGAUAAAUCAAAAUGUUUGGGCUCCUGGGGGAGUAUGGUCGCAAGGCUGANACUUAAAGAAAUUGACGGAAGGGCACCACCAGGGGUGGAGCCUGCGGCUUAAUUUGACUCAACACGGGGAAACUCACCAGGUCCAGACACGAUGAGGAUUGACAGAUUGAGAGCUCUNUCUUGANNUCGNGGGUGGUGGUGCAUGGCCGUUCUUAGUUGGUGGAGUGAUUNGUCUGCUUAAUCGCGAUAACGAACGAGACCUUAACCUGCUAAAUAGCCCGUAUUGCUUGNANAGUACGCUGGCUUCUUAAAGGGACUAUCGNCUCANNCCGAUGNANUUUGAGGCAAUAACAGGUCUGUNAUNCCCUUAAAUUUCUGGNCCGCANGCGCNCUAUNCUGANAGANNCAGGGAGUUCUCCCUUGNCNGAAGGUCNGGUAAUCUNGUUNAACUCUGUGGGGCUGGGGAUAAACAUUGCANUAAUCGAAUCCNGCGGCCCCAUGCNGGCCGG